rnacentral:misc_RNA from 1 species
GAUGUCGGCGGACCGUGCCAGCAACACUGAGCUCCCGGGCGGCGAGAUGGGUGAAACCGGUGCCGCCAGCUCUGGCAAGAAAAAAGGAAAGCAGCUAUGUGGCACCUGCAACAAGAAAUGUUCGGGAGAAGUAUUGAAGGUGCAUGAAAAGUUCUUUCACAUUAACUGCUUCAAAUGUAAAGCAUGUAACAAGUCGCUGGCUCAGGGUGGGUUCUUCUCCAAGAAUGACGAGUACUUCUGCUCAGAGGACUACCAGCGGCGGCACGGCACCAAGUGUGCCGUGUGCGGCCAGUAUGUGGAGGGAGAGGUGGUCACGGCGCUGGGCAACACCUACCAUCAGAAGUGCUUCCUGUGCGCCCGCUGCAGGCAGCCGUUCCCGUCAGGCGAACGGGUCACCUUCACCGGCAAGGAGUGUCUGUGCAGCAAGUGCGUGCACAUCCCGGUGGUGGACACGGUGUCGCCGCAGCGCUCGCCGUCCAGGGAGCCCGGCUCGAGGUCGGGCGUGCCGAAGUGCUCUGGCUGUCAGCAGGACCUGACCGAAUCCCAGGCGCUGAUCGCGCUCGACAAACCGUGGCACAUAUGGUGCUUUAAGUGCACCACGUGCCAGGCGCUGCUGCACGGGGAGUACAUGACCAGAGAUGGUAAGCCGUUCUGCGAGAAGCACUACCAGGCAGAGUACGGGGUCAAGUGUGCCUACUGCCAGCGCUACAUCAGCGGCAAGGUGCUGCAGGCCGGCGACAACCAUCACUUCCACCCCACCUGCGCACGAUGCACCAAGUGCGGCGACCCCUUCGGCGACGGCGAGGAGAUGUAUCUACAAGGCGCGGCUAUAUGGCACCCCCGCUGCGGGCCCGGCCCGACCGAGAACGGUGUCAUCAUCAACGGACAGCACGACGGGGACGAGAGCGCCGCCGACCGGAGCGCGGAACUCGACCGGCUGUCUACUACUGCCAGCGAGACACAGUUUUCGUUCCGUUCCCGGUCGCGCACACCGUCCGUGAGUGGCUCGUGCGGCAUCGCCAGCCCCUAUCGCAGCUUCUCCAGGUACUCUGGGUACCGGUCGGCCAGUCCUGGCCUGCUGCUCCGCGAGUACCGCAGCAACAUGACCACUCCGGUGGACGUGACGCGCAUCUACACCCAGAGCUACCUGGCCGACGGGCCGACUAUGGGCUACCUGCGCCGGCCCAUCGAGCCGUACGACAAGCCGCCCAAGAGCCCGCACUUCCACCGGCCGCCCAGCGGCGCGGGCUCCUCCGGCCGCCGUAUGGUAUUCGGCCGUCCGGGCUCUCGGUCCGGUAUGCAGGCGCUCGUCAACCAGAUGGAGUCGGAGACGCCGCGGCCACGCUCUCCCUACAUGAACAACGAGGAGCCCAUCGAGCUGAGCCACUACCCGGACGCCAAGAAACCGUCGGCCAACGAGCAGGCCAAGAUCGAGCGGGAUGACUUCCCGGCGCCCUCCUACCCCUACACCGACCCCGAGCGGCGGCGGCGGCUGUCGGACAAGUCCAGUCUGCACGAGGCGGACCUGGACGAGCUGGACGCUGCCAACGAGGCCGACCAGCAGGUCGACCCCAAACUGAAGCGGGAGGAGGCCGAGCUUAACAAGAUCGCCAGCGGCAUCGGCAAGGUGUUCCUGGAGCAGGUCCGCGAGCGCGAGAAACUGCAGCAGUGGAAGCGCGCCAACGUGGACCCUCGGAACGCGUCGCGCGCGCCCAACGCCGACCACGAGCUGCCCUACCGCAUGCGCUACGAGUCGCCCAUCUAUGCCUCUCCGUCGCGGGACGCCGAUCACGUACGUCCGUGGGAGCUGGAGGAGGAGUUCGAACGGGGCGGACCGUACCGCUCAUCGCUGCCGGGCCGAGCCUACGGCGCAGUGCCAAACUACAGAAUCACGCGCUCGUCCAUGUCGGCUCCGCGGCCCGGCUACGGGAUGAAGUCCAGCACGCUGCCGUACGCGGGUACCCGCCCGGCUACCAGUGGCGGCUUCUAUGUGAGUACCGCCGCGCCGCGCCGCGCCGCCCGGCCGGCCCCCGUGUGACGCUCCCCCGUCUCCACAGCACCCGGCUCUGCGCAGCAGACACCGCGCGCCGGCGGCCUGCAGACCCGCUCCCAGACGCUGCUGGGCCGGCCCGGCAUCGGACUGGCCGGCGGUGGUGAUUUUUACGGCGGCGGUCUGGGGGAGAAGACUCACAGCACAGAGUUCUGCAGCGCCCGGUCAGACAUCUCGAUCGGUUCUCUGACGGAGGCGGACCGUAACGCGCUGAACCAGGCCGAGUCGGUGUCCGUGCACACGCCUCGCUCCGGCCACCGUCUGCCGUACCAGUACCAGUUCGCCGGCGGCCCGAUGCGCCGCUCGCUGCCCAACGUGUCGCAGACGGGGCCGCCGCUGGAGCCAGGCAAGGUGUACCCGCUGCACCUGCUGGUCACCACCAACUACCGGCUGCCGGCCGACGUCGACCGCGCCAACCUCGAGCGCCACCUCUCGGACGCCGAGUUCGAGAUGUUUUUCCACAUGUCGCGCGCCGACUUCUAUCGGCUGCCGCUGUGGCGGCGGAACGACCUCAAGAAGCGCGGCCGGCUCUUCUAGGCGGCCUGAGCGGCUGUCGGCCGACUGAGCGGCAUAAUACCACCACCCCGAGCUUCGUCUCCCUGCACACAGCACACUCUGCCAGCUGGAGCACCGCUGCCUGUGAGACUGCCCGCCCGCUGCGACUCUGCCCGGCCCGGUCUUCAGAGCGUCCCGGCAGUGGGGCGCGACGUGUUCAGGUGUGACAGAACAGCCGCUGAAGGGGCGGUCCAGCGGUGUGGCGGCACGGUGCGUGUUCAGGAGAGCCGCUGAGGGGCGGCCCCAGUUACCAUGGUGAAUGCGGCGGCGGCGCGGACGAGCGCGAGGCCGGAAUGUGAGGAAACACCGCAGCUGGGCGGAGCUAUCACGCGGCAGCGGAUACCGGGCGCGAGUGUCGGUGUGGUGAGUGGUUGCCGGAGUUCCGGAGUGGAGUACCGAGUGUGUUCCGGAGUUCCUGGCCGCGGAGUGAGUGAGUUUGUGCAGCUGUAUGCGGACGAGUGAAGUGUCUGCGGAGUGGAGUGUCUGUGCGGGCGGGACUCGGUUUUCCGACUCUGUGCGGUGACUGGAAUGGUCCCCGCCGAGCGACCGGCCCGGCCGACCCAGCCGAUCGUCUAUUGGGCAUUGACAGGGCGCGCGGGUGUGCUGCGCGCGGCGGCAGCUGGUUCUGCAAUAGCGCGCCGCGCCGACGCUGUUCAUUUGUGUGUGUUUUGUUUUGUGACUGCUGCGGUCCGUAGCCGCACCCAUACGUAGCAAAGCUAUCGGUCUAGACACCAUCUGCCUAGUGGUCCUUAUUAUUUAGAUGUGGCGUGUACUCGGCUUUAGAUGCGGACUAACGGAAGAGUGCGUUUUUCUGACGAAUGGAGCUUCUAUAUAGCGGGAUACCAUGACUGUUUUGGCGGCCGGCGGCGGCCGUUUUCACGUAAGGUAGCUUCCAGCAGCUCGGGCGACUCGCCCGCCCCGCUUCCCCUAUCCGAAUUGACGGCGCUUGGCGCUCCGUCUGUGUCUCUGCGGGUCGGCGGGUGGGAGCCAGUGCCGGCGGCGCGGCGGUCCGGGCGCGUCCCGCUCGGGAGGGGCGCCCGGGCCGGCCGCCCGUCUGGCCGUCACGGACAGCCUUCACUUCAGAGCGUGCUAGUUACUGUGCUCUGCUUUAGAGAAAAUAAACGCCUCAGGUCGUUA